GUCUACAGCCAUGCCCUGAACAAGCCCAAUCCCUUCUGAUCUCGGAAGCUAAGCCUGGUUAGUACUUGGAUGGGAGACUAUCUAGAAGGCCCAGGUGCUGUAGGCA
rnacentral:rRNA from 1 species